GAUGAACGCUGACAGAAUGCUUAACACAUGCAAGUCUUUGGCGAAUCUGUGCUUGCACAGGCUAGCCAAGGCGGACGGGUGAGUAACGCGUAAAGAACUUGCCCUGCAGACAGGGAUAACAGACGGAAACGACUGAUAACACCUGAUACAGUUGCCGGCACGCAUGUGCCUGGCAAUGAAAAGAGAUGCUGCAGGAGAGCUUUGCGUCCUAUUAGCUUGUUGGUGAGGUGACGGCUCACCAAGGCGAUGAUAGGUAGCCGGCCUGAGAGGGUGAACGGCCACAAGGGGACUGAGAUACGGCCCUUACUCCUACGGGAGGCAGCAGUGGGGAAUAUUGGGCAAUGGGGGCAACCCUGAUCCAGCAAUUCUGUGUGCACGAAGAAGGUUUUCGGAUUGUAAAGUGCUUUCAGCAGGGAAGAAGAAAGUGACGGUACCUGCAGAAGAAGCGACGGCUAAAUACGUG
rnacentral:rRNA from 1 species